rnacentral:misc_RNA from 1 species
AAGGAUCAUUAAACGUAUCCACGUAUAACCCAUGGCGAACUUGUUUUCUAAUAAACUCUUUGUGAGUGGUGACAUUUGAGAUAGUGUGAGUGCACAGGUAAGAGUUUUUUCGGAAAUUCUUAGAGCUCUACUUAUCGACGUCACGUGUCACAAGGGAUUUUAAACAAAUCCUGUGAACGCAUUUUUUACUUUUUCACGCUUGUAAACCUUUGAUGAAUUAUUGUGUCGUGUUUGAAAAAACACUGCACGUUAAACCAAAUGAAAUUUUAAAACACAAUUCUUAACAACGGAUAUCUAGGCUCUC